rnacentral:misc_RNA from 1 species
GAUGAAGAACGUAGCGAAAUGCGAUACUUGGUGUGAAUUGCAGAAUCCCGUGAACCAUCGAGUCUUUGAACGCAAGUUGCGCCUCAAGCCAUUAGGUUGAGGGCACGUCUGCCUGGGCGUCACAUAUCGUUGCCUGAUGCCAGUUUCCUCGUGAUGGGUGACUGUGCAGGGCGAAUGAUGGCUUCCCGUGAGCAUUGUUGCCUCAUGGUUGGUUGAAAAUUGAGUCCUUGGUAGGGAGCGCCGUGAUAGAUGGUGGUUGAGUGACGAACGAGACCCAAUCAUGUGAGACCCCUACCGAAUUUGGCCUUCAUGACCCACAUGCGUCUUUGGAACGCUCAUGACGAGACCUCAGGUCACGCGGGGCUACCCGCUGAGUUUAAGCAUAUCAAUAAGCGGCGGA